rnacentral:rRNA from 1 species
GACAGAGGGGGCAAGCGUUGCUCGGAAUUACUGGGCGUAAAGGGCGCGUAGGCGGGAUGGCAAGUCGGUCGUGAAAUGCCUCGGCUCAACUGAGGAUCGUCGAUCGAUACUGCCGUUCUUGAGGAUCGCAGAGGAGACUGGAAUUCCCGGUGUAGCGGUGAAAUGUGUAGAGAUCGGGAGGAACACCGGUGGCGAAGGCGGGUCUCUGGGCAAUUCCUGACGCUGAGGCGCGAAAGCGUGGGGAGCAAACGGG